rnacentral:rRNA from 1 species
UACGUAGGUGGCAAGCGUUGUCCGGAUUUACUGGGCGUAAAGAGCGCGCAGGCGGCUGGCCAAGUCCGAUGUGAAAGCUCCCGGCUUAACUGGGAAACUGCAUCGGAAACUGGUCGGCUUGAAGGUGGGAGAGGGUAGCGGAAUUCCCGGUGUAGUGGUGAAAUGCGUAGAUAUCGGGAGGAACACCAGUGGCGAAGGCGGCUACCUGGCCCAUUCUUGACGCUGAGGCGCGAAAGCUAGGGGAGCGAAACGGGAUUGAGAUACC